rnacentral:rRNA from 1 species
UACGUAGGGGGCAAGCGUUAUCCGGAUUUACUGGGUGUAAAGGGAGCGUAGACGGCAGCGCAAGUCUGGAGUGAAAGCCCGGGGCUUAACCCCGGAACGGCUUUGGAAACUGGCCGGCUGGAGUGCUGGAGAGGCAGGCGGAAUUCCUGGUGUAGCGGUGAAAUGCGUAGAUAUCAGGAGGAACACCGGUGGCGAAGGCGGCUUCCUGGUCUGCAACUGACACUGAGGCGCGAAAGCGUGGGGAGCAAACAGG